ACACACAGAGAAUUAGGGAGGGGGGACGGAAAAGCAGAGAGCAAAAAAGAGAACAGAAGCGGCGAGAUUAGCAACGAGAAAAACCUAGCACCGCAACCUCUUCAUCCCAAAAAUCUAUCUCUAUAGCUACACCACCAUGAAAAUACCAUAGCUAAUCCUCAUUUUCUCCAUUGAAAUAGCUUACGUUUCCAGCACUAAAAUCAGUCACAAAACCCAUUUAUAAUACUAUUUCGGAUCAAGAGUUUAGCGAUUUCAAAUCUUCGGCUCUCUGAAUCUGAGUCAAGUUCGAUUUCCGGUCAAGAGUGUUGAGUUUCUUUUUAAUAUAGAAAGGUAUUAAAAAGAGGGUGAAUGGGAAAUGAGGGAAAUGAAAAUUUUGAGUAAAAUUUUAAGUUUCCCUCUCCUUUUAAUGAGACAUUGUCCCUCAUUGGUAGAGGGAAAGGAGUUUGGUGGGUUUAUAUACAAAUGCACUUCAUGUAGCUCUUAAAGAGUUAAGAAGAAGGCAAGCCUCGCGCCGUCGUCUCUCGGUCGGCUACGGCUACAGCUUCGGGUUCGGCUUCGGGUUCGGCUUCGGAUUCGUAUUCGGAUUUGGUCAAAUGAUUGAUUGAUUAAUUUUUUGGACCAAAUUUAUUUGUUAAUAGUAGAUAUUAACGUAAUAUUAUCUGUGCAAUAGCAGCCGCCUAGUGCUCCUCCCACCAUGGCUAAGUGCUUGCUCCAUAACAAGCUAGUGCAUGCUCCACCAUGGCUUGCUCCAUAACGAGCUAGUGCAUGCUCCACCAUGGAGAGGGGCGGGUCUCACAACUGACUGCUAUAAAUAUGAACAUCAGCAGUUGGAGAAUAGAUAUACCGAAACAGAAUUGAGAACUAUUGAUCUUCUCUUAACCGAAAACUCAACGUUGGCUAUAAUUUG